CGUCAAAUUAAAAGUUGCUCUUCCCUCGCUGAAAUCGUUGUUUACCAGUGAGUUAGCCAUUUUUAGCGAAGUUAAAACUUGUUUUAUGUGAAAAUAUUCUAACAUAGGACAAUCUAUAUGUAUCUUGGGAAGGCCCGUUUCCACUUUUAAAGUUUAAACCUCUAUUUCAA